rnacentral:rRNA from 1 species
CCUACGGGAGGCAGCAGUGAGGAAUAUUGGUCAAUGGACGAGAGUCUGAACCAGCCAAGUAGCGUGAAGGAUGACUGCCCUAUGGGUUGUAAACUUCUUUUAUAUGGGAAUAAAAUGUUCCACGUGUGGGAUUUUGUAUGUACCAUAUGAAUAAGGAUCGGCUAACUCCGUGCCAGCAGCCGCGGUAAUACGGAGGAUCCGAGCGUUAUCCGGAUUUAUUGGGAUUAAAGUGAGCGUAGGUGGAUUGUUAAGUCAGUUGUGAAAGUUUGCGGCUUAACCGUAAAAUUGCAGUUGAAACUGGCAGUCUUGAGUACAGUAGAGGUGGGCGGAAUUCGUGGUGUAGCGGUGAAAUGCGUAGAUAUCACGAAGAACUCCGAUUGCGAAGGCAGCUCACUGGACUGCAACUGACACUGAGGCUCGAAAGUGUGGGGAUCAAACAGGAUUAGAUACCCCAGUAGUC